rnacentral:rRNA from 1 species
UACGUAGGGUCCGAGCGUUGUCCGGAAUUACUGGGCGUAAAGAGCUCGUAGGUGGUUUGUCGCGUUGUUCGUGAAAACUCACAGCUUAACUGUGGGCGUGCGGGCGAUACGGGCAGACUGGAGUACUGCAGGGGGAGACUGGAAUUCCUGGUGUAGCGGUGGAAUGCGCAGAUAUCAGGAGGAACACCGGUGGCGAAGGCGGGGUCUCUGGGCAGUAACUGACGCUGGAGGAGCGAAAAGCGUGGGGGAGCGAACAGG